rnacentral:misc_RNA from 1 species
AUGGCAUGGAAAGCAAAAGGGAGAACAAACCAAGAAUUAGUACGAUAUCUUCGAGCUUCUAAUGUUAUUAAAAGUGACAUUGUAGAAAAUGCAAUGUUAAAAGUUGAUAGAGGUUUCUACUGCAAAUCCAACCCUUACACAGAUAGUCCACAAGGAAUAGGCUAUGGUGUUACAAUUAGUGCUCCUCAUAUGCAUGCCUAUGCAUUGGAGUUACUGAAAGAUAAAUUACUACCUGGAGAAAGAGUUUUAGAUGUUGGUUCUGGAAGUGGUUACCUUACUGCCUGUAUGGCUACUAUGUUGGGUAAAGAUGGACUAGCCGUUGGUGUUGAACAUAUACCUGAACUGGUAAACAAGUCUAUUGAGAACAUGAAAGAAGGAAAUCCAGAUCUAUUAGAAUCUGGGAGAGUUAAAAUAAUAGUUGGUGAUGGUCGUCUUGGUGUUCUAGAAUAUAGUCCAUAUAAUGCCAUUCAUGUUGGUGCAGCAGCUUCUACUAUUCCACAAGCUCUCAUAGAGCAGUUAAAAGUUGGUGGAAGACUAAUACUACCUGUGGGUUCUUCUGGAGGGGAUCAAGCACUUGAGCAGAUAGAUAAACUUGAGGAUGGAACUGUAAGACGAACACCACUUAUGGAUGUAAUCUUUGUUCCUCUUACUGAUCGUUCAGCACAGUGGCCCCAAGAACGCUGACUUAAAAGUUGCCGGUUUCAGAAUUAUUCUUGUUAUAAUUUUUUGUUAUUGCAAGUCCUUCUGUGGUUGGUAAAAAAAAAAACUAUCAAUCUUACAGUGUUAUAUUGCAAAUCAUAAUUUCAUGUACCUUUCAAUUGUACAAAGCCAACAUUCAAAGAUUAGUUACUUGCUGAUCCAUUUUAGGAGCUGCAAUUGAUAAUAUUCUAAUAUCAUAACCAUCAGGUAGAAUAUACUUCCCUAUAAAAUGGCGUGAUACAAAGCCAUGCCCGUCCUACUUUCCUUCAUGUCUUCCUUCUAUAACGAUUUUAUUGCCAAGGACAUUAACGGAGAUUUCAUCAGGAGAAAAUUGCUGAAUAUCUAGGUGAGCUUGAAAUUUAUCUUUAUCUGUUGAUAUUGUCGAUCCUGAGUCUUUGAACAAUAUAACCGGCUACGGGUACUCAUGAAUAAAUCCUUGGUUUUCUACCUAUUAACUUUUCAUUUGGUUGAAAUUAAUGCGGACGCACUAAAGCUUCAUUUAAUAUUGAUGGCAAUCUUCAAAACUGCUUACCAGUUACCACAGAUUUUCAGUUUGUUUACCACUUUUCUGUUGAACUAAACCACGCACACUAAUUGACAAAAUUUAUGUUUACAGUACAUUAUUUAAAAACAAUAAGCAUAGGUCUUAAAUAUCCCGGAUAAUUCUACAAUAUGUAUCUUAUUCUGUAGUCGCCUUUUACGUACAUAGUUUGUUAGCUUCAUUAAUGAGCUUAUAAUAUGUAUAUAGAUUAUUGAGAAUGAGUUAAGUUUAACCCCAGUUUACACAUUAAAUUAAUGAUAUACUAAUA